AGGGGUGUAGCUCAGUUGGUAGAGCAACGGUCUCCAAAACCGUAGGUCGUGAGUUCGAGUCUCUCCGCCCCUGCCA
rnacentral:tRNA from 1 species